ACACUACUUCAGUUUCAACCUGUCUCUUGUGGAAGUUCCUGUGGCACCCACAUGCAGCACAAGUGAGAGCAGCAGUUGUCCCUUCUCCACCACUUGCCAUGAACUCUCUGCAACCAUCAACAGCAUACCCUCCAACAUUUGCUGCAUGAUUCUUCUGGCACUCUCCAUACUUCACACUCCUAACAUUUCUCUGAGGCUCCUCUCUUCUCACAACCACCUGGCGCUUCCUCAUCUUCUUGAUUUCACCAGCUCCACAACUGCAGUACACCCUUCAGAUCCUUCUUCUCUCCCCCUUUUGCCUGUUUCAAAGCUCAAACCCUGCAAAGUUAUGCCAUGAAAUUCUCUGAGAGCUUUGGUGAAUUGAAAUCAGAAACUGAAUAGAAAGAAAUAAGAGGUAGAGAGAGAUAGAGGGUUGUACAACUCACUUG
rnacentral:lncRNA from 1 species